UCCUGCUCCGCCGCAAGCUCCUGCUCCGCCGCUAGCUGCUGCUCCGCCGCUAGCUGCUGCUCCGCCGCUAGCUGCUGCUCCGCCGCUAGCUCCUGCUCCGCCGCAAGCUCCUGCUCCGCCGCUAGCUGCUGCUCCGCCGCCCGCAACGACGUCAACGCUACAACGCUGGAGGUCACCGGAGGAAAUCCAGCGCCUUGCAACAAAGAGCUCAUCACCGAAGACCAACGCUGCAGUGCGUUCUUCAUUCUGUUCCACGAGACUCUGAACUAGACCACCGCGAGCAGACAGCUGGACUUCAUGUGCAUUAUUGGUGAAAUGACCACGUCCAGUCAGGAUCCUGUGGAGCUCAUGGGCCAUGACACCAGGACCUACUUCAGCACCUCAAAGAGAAUGGACCAAAUGUCAACUGGAAGUUUUUAUAUUAAUACAGUUUGAAAAGGAUUGUUUUCCUAGUAUAUUCACAAAAGCUCAGGAGUAGACAUGAACCUGUGUACAAACAUCCAUCACAUAGAGACAUGAGAACUCACACUCACUCACCCACACACACAUACAUUCUAUUAUGUAAAUGAAUUUGCAUUUUAAAAGCAGCUGGAAAUGUUAUUUGUUAUUUUAUGGAUUUUUUUUGUUCAAAAGGAACUAUGUUGCCCGUAUUUUUUAAAUAUAUUUACUUAAUUUUAGAGACAUUUGUUCAUGGGACUUAAAUGUUCUGAAAAUGUAUUAAUAAAUAUAAUUUACAACAGCAA